rnacentral:rRNA from 1 species
UACGUAGGGUCCAAGCAUUAUCCGGAUUGACUGGGUGUAAAGAGUUGCGUAGGUGGAUGUUUAAGUAGACAGUGAAAUCUGGUGGCUCAACCAUUCAGACUGUUGUCUAAACUGAAUAUCUCGAGACCGUUAGGGGUAACUGGAAUUUAGUGUAGGAGUGAAAUCCGUAGAUAUUAGAAAGAACACCGAUAGCGUAGGCAGGUUACUGGGACGGUUCUGACACUAAGGCACGAAAGCGUAGGGAGCAAAC